ACCCAGUAAAGCCAAAGAAAGCAGAGAUUACACCUCGUACCUUUUGCAUCAUGAUUUAGCAAGUAUACCCAAGCAAAAAGCAUUUUAGUUUGGCCCCCGAAACCAAGUGAGCUACUCCAAGACAACCUAUAAUUUAGGGUAAACCCGUCUCUGUGGCAAAAGAGUGGGAAGAGCUUCGAGUAGAGGUGACAGACCUAUCGAACUUGGUAAUAGCUGGUUGCUUGAGAAACGAAUAGAAGUUCUGCCUCUUAUCUUCUCACCCCACUCUGGUCACCAGAGCCCUUCCACCGGUAAAAGAAGAUAAAAGAGUUAGUCAAAGGGGGUACAGCCCCUUUGAGACAAGAUACAACUUUUCCAGCAGGGUAAAGAUCAUAAUUUUUAAGGCACCUAUGUUUGGGUGGGCCUAAAAGCAGCCAUCCCAUUAGAAAGCGUUAAAGCUCUAACAUACUCCCCCCUUCGAUCCCGAUAAUAAAUCUUAGCCCCCUAACCAUAUCAAGCCGUCCCAUAGUAACAUGGGAGUGAUUAUGCUAAAAUGAGUAACCAGAGAACACCACCUCUCUCCUUGCACAUGUGUAAAUCGGAACGGACCCCCCACCGAAACUUAACGGCCCCAAACAACAGAGGGCACUGAAUGAUAAAAAACAAACAAGAAAAUCAUCCAAAAUUCUACCGUUAACCCCACACUGGUGUACUUAAAAGGAAAGACCAAAAGGAAAAGAAGGAACUCGGCAAAUACACCUAAGCCUCGCCUGUUUACCAAAAACAUCGCCUCUUGCUAAAUACACGUAAGAGGUCCCGCCUGCCCUGUGACCCCUGGUUUAACGGCCGCGGUAUUUUGACCGUGCAAAGGUAGCGCAAUCACUUGUCCCUUAAAUGAGGACCCGUAUGAAUGGCACAACGAGGGCUUAACUGUCUCCUUUCCCCGGUCAAUGAAAUUGAUCUUCCCGUGCAGAAGCGGGAAUUCUAACAUAAGACGAGAAGACCCUAUGGAGCUUUAGACUUUAGAACAGACCAUGUCAGCUACCCCCUUAAACAAGUAGUAAUUAUUGAACCCCUGUUCCCCUGUCUUUGGUUGGGGCGACCACGGGGAAGAAAAAAACCCCCACGUGGACUGGGAGCACCUUACUCCUACAACUACGAGCCACAGCUCUAAUGCGCAGAAUUUCUGACCAUGAGAUCCGGCAAAGCCGAUCAACGGACCGAGUUACCCUAGGGAUAACAGCGCAAUCCCCUUCAAGAGUCCAUAUCGACAAGGGGGUUUACGACCUCGAUGUUGGAUCAAGACAUCCUAAUGGUGCAGCCGCUAUUAAGGGUUCGUUUGUUCAACGAUUAAAGUCUU
rnacentral:rRNA from 1 species